rnacentral:rRNA from 1 species
UGGGGAAUAUUGCACAAUGGGGGAAACCCUGAUGCAGCGACGCCGCGUGAGCGAUGAAGUAUUUCGGUAUGUAAAGCUCUAUCAGCAGGGAAGAAUUAAGACGGUACCUGACUAAGAAGCACCGGCUAAAUACGUGCC